UAAUCGAUGGGGGGACGCAGUAGGAUAGGCGAAGCGUGCGAUUGGAUUGCACGUCUAAGCAGUAAGGCUGAGUAUUAGGCAAAUCCGGUACUCGUUAAGGCUGAGCUGUGAUGGGGAGAAGACAUUGUGUCUUCGAGUCGUUGAUUUCACACUGCCGAGAAAAGCCUCUAGAUAGAAAAUAGGUGCCCGUACCGCAAACCGACACAGGUAGUCAAGAUGAGAAUUCUAAGGUGAGCGAGCGAACUCUCGUUAAGGAACUCGGCAAAAUGACCCCGUAACUUCGGGAGAAGGGGUGCUCUUUAGGGUUAACGCCCAGAAGAGCCGCAG
rnacentral:rRNA from 1 species